rnacentral:rRNA from 1 species
GUAUGUGGCUUAAUUUGACUCAACGCGGAAAAGCUUAUCUGGUCCGGACGCAGUGAGGAUUGACAGACAGUUUCAGGAGUGGUUCUUGGUAAACAAUUGAGAGAGUUGAAGUUCUUUCAUGAUCUUGUGAGAGGUGGUGCAUGGCCGUUCUUAGUUCGUGUAGUGAUAUGUCUGCCUAAUCGCGUCACGAUAACCUAUUGGUCGACAACCCAAUUAUCACAACUGCAGCAUAACUCCCCUUGGGUGGGCGAGGCUCUGUGUAGGAUAGACCUCUGAACAGUACGCAACGAACGCGAUCGUAAUCCCUUGUUGAGUGGCCAUCCUGUAAGCUGCUGGAUUAGGAACCCAGUGGUAUUAUCUCAGCCACAGAUUUUCUGGUUGUAAUGGGCCAGUUUUGAAACUCGGGGAACAUCUGUGACUUUCUUUCUUAACGCAGAGGAAGGUUAUGGCAAUAACAGG